rnacentral:rRNA from 1 species
UGGGGAAUCUUGCGCAAUGGGGGCAACCCUGACGCAGCGACGCCGCGUGCGGGACGAAGGCCUUCGGGUCGUAAACCGCUUUCAGCAGGGACGAGGCCGCGAGGUGACGGUACCUGCAGAAGAAGCCCCGGCUAACUACGUGCCAGCAGCCGCGGUAAUACGUAGGUGGCGAGCGUUAUCCGGAUUCAUUGGGCGUAAAGCGCUCGUAGGCUGCCCGCUAGGUCCGGGGUCAAAUCCGGGGGCUCAACCCCCGCACGCCCCGGAUACCGGCGUGCUUGAGUCGGGUAGGGGAAGGCGGAAUUCCAGGUGUAGCGGUGGAAUGCGCAGAUAUCUGGAAGAACACCGGUGGCGAAGGCGGCCUUCUGGGCCUCGACUGACGCUGAGGAGCGAAAGCUGGGGGAGCGAACAGG